rnacentral:lncRNA from 1 species
AAUAAAGGAGAGGGAGAAAGGGAAGAGAGAGCCUGCUUUGUGGCAGGGAACAAGGAAACAAAGUAGCCAAAUGUAGGCGGUGACACAGGCAGACAAAGGCAUGGGUGAGGAUAUCAAAUGGCCAUAGGCCGAGCAUGUGGGGCAGCAUCGUGAGGCUCGGAAACCACUGUAAGCCGCUGGGCUCACUGCUGACCAUUGAGGGGACAAGUGGCUUCAUGGCCAAGAGUGGAUCCCCAGAGCUACACUGCUGCUUGGGUUCAGUCCUGGCCCGGCCAUAGCCCUGUGACAGAUGACAAGUGACCAGGGGGAAGACCCACAGCAUGUCAGGCGAUGACCCCACCUUCCAGGGCUCCUGUUUAUGCCAAGGAUUAAUACGGACACAUCCUGGCAUCACAAGUUUGAGAAACACUGCCUGAGGGAACUUGAUUGGCUUCUCACUCUGCAACCUGGCUGUGUCCACACUGGCCAAGACACCCGACAGCUUGGGUUUAUCUCUCAGUGCCAGUUUAGCACAUGAAUGAAGAAGAGGAGGAAGGAGACAAAUUUAUUUCCAUGGCCUUGUUCGAGAGGCAGUUGAAGGACAAGAUGACAGUGGUGGGUGACCUUGGGCAGCUAAGGAGAGAAGGAGGAAGCCGAAGACAUGAGUGCCCCUAGCACGAGCAGCAGUGGGAAGGCAUCUCACGCUGUGCCAUGUAAGUGCUUUAAGCCUUAAAGUCAUAAACAAUAGCAACAAAACUACCCCCCCCCAUCAUUUGAAUUAAACCUCUCUUCAUAUUUGGGAAUACCAUUGUGCGGGGUGUUUGAGACAGGACCUAAUGGUAUAGUUCAGGCUGGGCUUGAACUCAUUAUGUAGCCCUGGCUGGCCUCUAAUU